rnacentral:rRNA from 1 species
CCAGACAGCCAGGAUGUUGGCUUAGAAGCAGCCAUCAUUUAAAGAAAGCGUAAUAGCUCACUGGUCGAGUCGGCCUGCGCGGAAGAUGUAACGGGGCUAAACCAUGCACCGAAGCUGCGGCAGCGACACUAUGUGUUGUUGGGUAGGGGAGCGUUCUGUAAGCCUGUGAAGGUGUGCUGUGAGGUAUGCUGGAGGUAUCAGAAGUGCGAAUGCUGACAUAAGUAACGAUAAAGCGGGUGAAAAGCCCGCUCGCCGGAAGAC